UUUCAGGUUCACAUCAUGCUCAGAGCAGGAGCUUGGGAGAAGGAUUUUUACUGGAAUAAUAGAAGAAAAUGUUAGCUCUGUCCCAACAAUGUCCACUGAGCUCUAUAAUCCAGGAGCUGAGCUAUAAGGUCAUCACACAGGAGACAAAAGGUUCUACACCACAUUUCCGAGGAAGUUCUAGGGACCUGUUAGUGAUGCUGG